CUACAAUCCGUACCGGCCUUGAGAGAGGGAGCCGGGAGAUGGAUACUGAGACAAAGAUCCAGGUCCUACGGGACGCAGCAGUUGCGAAAUCUCCGCAAUGCGCGCAAGCGUGGCGGGGGAACCCCAAGUGCCAUUGUACAACAAUGGCUUUUGUCUAGUGUAAACAGCUAGUCGAAUAAGGGCUGGGUAAGACCGGUGCCAGCCUCCGCGGUAACACCGGCAGCUCGAGUGGUGGUCGAAUUUAUUGGGCUUAAAGCGUCCGUAGUCGGUUGUGCAAGUCCUCUGUUAAAUCCUGCGGCUUAACCGUAGGGUCGCAGAGGAUACU
rnacentral:rRNA from 1 species